rnacentral:SRP_RNA from 1 species
ACUGGGCACGGUGGCGCAUGCCUGUAGUCCCAGCUACUCGGGAGGCUGAGGUGGGAGGAUUGCUUGAGCCCAGGAGUUCUGGGCUGUAUGCCCAGAUCUGGUGUCCACACUAAGUUCAGCAUCAAUUAUGGUGACUUCCUGGGAGCAGGGGACCACCAGGUUGCCUAAGGAGGGGUGAACUGGCCCAGGUCGGAAACGGAGCAGGUCAGAACUCCAGUGCUGAUCAGUAGUGGGAUCGUGCCUGUGAAUAGCCACUGCGCUCCAGCCUGGGCAACAUAGCAAGACUGUCUCUU